CCCAGAUGUGGGGCACCCAGGCCUGGGAUGCCCAGGCAUGGAGUAUCCAGGUGGAGAAACAUGGGGCUAAAUGAUGAUCUUGAAAAGGGCCCUCACUCGUGAGCCUUCGCCAUGUGCCAGUCACUAUGCUGAGCACCUUGCAGGUCUUGCUGUGAUGACUGGAGCUGUGGCAGCCACCUUGUGACCAUGAGGGAAAAGCCAAGAGACUAGUUGAGAAGCCAACUGAGAGUUUUACCGCCAACUGAGAGUUUUACCUCCAUUGAG
rnacentral:lncRNA from 1 species